rnacentral:rRNA from 1 species
GGUUAAGCGACUAAGCGUACACGGUGGAUGCCCUGGCAGUCAGAGGCGAUGAAGGACGUGCUAAUCUGCGAAAAGCGUCGGUAAGGUGAUAUGAACCGUUAUAACCGGCGAUGUCCGAAUGGGGAAACCCAGUGUGAUUCGUCACACUAUCGUUAACUGAAUACAUAGGUUAACGAGGCGAACCGGGGGAACUGAAACAUCUAAGUACCCCGAGGAAAAGAAAUCAACCGAGAUUCCCCCAGUAGCGGCGAGCGAACGGGGAGCAGCCCAGAGUCUGAAUCAGCUUGUGUGUUAGUGGAACGGUCUGGAAAGUCCGACGGUACAGGGUGAUAGUCCCGUACACCAAAAUGCACAGGCUGUGAACUCGAAGAGUAGGGCGGGACACGUGGUAUCCUGUCUGAAUAUGGGGGGACCAUCCUCCAAGGCUAAAUACUCCUGACUGACCGAUAGUGAACCAGUACCGUGAGGGAAAGGCGAAAAGAACCCCGGCGAGGGGAGUGAAAAAGAACCUGAAACCGUGUACGUACAAGCAGUGGGAGCACCUUCGGGUGUGACUGCGUACCUUUUGUAUAAUGGGUCAGCGACUUAUAUUCUGUAGCAAGGUUAACCGUAUAGGGGAGCCGCAGGGAAACCGAGUCUUAACUGGGCGUUAAGUUGCAGGGUAUAGACCCGAAACCCGGUGAUCUAGCCAUGGGCAGGUUGAAGGUUGGGUAACACUAACUGGAGGACCGAACCGACUAAUGUUGAAAAAUUAGCGGAUGACUUGUGGCUGGGGGUGAAAGGCCAAUCAAACCGGGAGAUAGCUGGUUCUCCCCGAAAGCUAUUUAGGUAGCGCCUCGUGAACUCAUCUUCGGGGGUAGAGCACUGUUUCGGCUAGGGGGUCAUCCCGACUUACCAACCCGAUGCAAACUACGAAUACCGAAGAAUGUUAUCACGGGAGACACACGGCGGGUGCUAACGUCCGUCGUGAAGAGGGAAACAACCCAGACCGCCAGCUAAGGUCCCAAAGUCAUGGUUAAGUGGGAAACGAUGUGGGAAGGCACAGACAGCCAGGAUGUUGGCUUAGAAGCAGCCAUCAUUUAAAGAAAGCGUAAUAGCUCACUGGUCGAGUCGGCCUGCGCGGAAGAUGUAACGGGGCUAAACCAUGCACCGAAGCUGCGGCAGCGACACUAUGUGUUGUUGGGUAGGGGAGCGUUCUGUAAGCCUGCGAAGGUGUGCUGUGAGGCAUGCUGGAGGUAUCAGAAGUGCGAAUGCUGACAUAAGUAACGAUAAAGCGGGUGAAAAGCCCGCUCGCCGGAAGACCAAGGGUUCCUGUCCAACGUUAAUCGGGGCAGGGUGAGUCGACCCCUAAGGCGAGGCCGAAAGGCGUAGUCGAUGGGAAACAGGUUAAUAUUCCUGUACUUGGUGUUACUGCGAAGGGGGGACGGAGAAGGCUAUGUUAGCCGGGCGACGGUUGUCCCGGUUUAAGCAUGUAGGCUGGUUAUCCAGGCAAAUCCGGAUAACAAGGCUGAGGUGUGAUGACGAGGCACUACGGUGCUGAAGUAACAAAUGCCCUGCUUCCAGGAAAAGCCUCUAAGCAUCAGGUAACAUCAAAUCGUACCCCAAACCGACACAGGUGGUCAGGUAGAGAAUACCAAGGCGCUUGAGAGAACUCGGGUGAAGGAACUAGGCAAAAUGGUGCCGUAACUUCGGGAGAAGGCACGCUGGUGUGUAGGUGAAGUCCCUGCGGAUGGAGCUGAGACCAGUCGAAGAUACCAGCUGGCUGCAACUGUUUAUUAAAAACACAGCACUGUGCAAACACGAAAGUGGACGUAUACGGUGUGACGCCUGCCCGGUGCCGGAAGGUUAAUUGAUGGGGUUAUCCGUAAGGAGAAGCUCUUGAUCGAAGCCCCGGUAAACGGCGGCCGUAACUAUAACGGUCCUAAGGUAGCGAAAUUCCUUGUCGGGUAAGUUCCGACCUGCACGAAUGGCGUAAUGAUGGCCAGGCUGUCUCCACCCGAGACUCAGUGAAAUUGAACUCGCUGUGAAGAUGCAGUGUACCCGCGGCAAGACGGAAAGACCCCGUGAACCUUUACUAUAGCUUGACACUGAACAUUGAGCCUUGAUGUGUAGGAUAGGUGGGAGGCUUUGAAGCGUGGACGCCAGUCUGCGUGGAGCCAACCUUGAAAUACCACCCUUUAAUGUUUGAUGUUCUAACGUUGGCCCCUGACCGGGGUUGCGGACAGUGUCUGGUGGGUAGUUUGACUGGGGCGGUCUCCUCCCAAAGCGUAACGGAGGAGCACGAAGGUUAGCUAAUCCUGGUCGGACAUCAGGAGGUUAGUGCAAUGGCAUAAGCUAGCUUGACUGCGAGCGUGACGGCGCGAGCAGGUGCGAAAGCAGGUCAUAGUGAUCCGGUGGUUCUGAAUGGAAGGGCCAUCGCUCAACGGAUAAAAGGUACUCCGGGGAUAACAGGCUGAUACCGCCCAAGAGUUCAUAUCGACGGCGGUGUUUGGCACCUCGAUGUCGGCUCAUCACAUCCUGGGGCUGAAGUAGGUCCCAAGGGUAUGGCUGUUCGCCAUUUAAAGUGGUACGCGAGCUGGGUUUAGAACGUCGUGAGACAGUUCGGUCCCUAUCUGCCGUGGGCGCUGGAGAAUUGAGGGGGGCUGCUCCUAGUACGAGAGGACCGGAGUGGACGCAUCACUGGUGUUCGGGUUGUCAUGCCAAUGGCACUGCCCGGUAGCUAAAUGCGGAAGAGAUAAGUGCUGAAAGCAUCUAAGCACGAAACUUGCCCCGAGAUGAGUUCUCCCUGAGACUUUAAGUCUCCUGAAGGAACGUUGAAGACGACGACGUUGAUAGGCCGGGUGUGUAAGCGCAGCGAUGCGUUGAGCUAACCGGUACUAAUGAACCGUGAGGCUUAACCUU